rnacentral:rRNA from 1 species
GACGAACGCUGGCGGCGUGCCUAAUACAUGCAAGUUGAGCGCUGAAGGUUGGUACUUGUACCGACUGGAUGAGCAGCGAACGGGUGAGUAACGCGUGGGGAAUCUGCCUUUGAGCGGGGGACAACAUUUGGAAACGAAUGCUAAUACCGCAUAAAAACUUUAAACACAAGUUUUAAGUUUGAAAGAUGCAAUUGCAUCACUCAAAGAUGAUCCCGCGUUGUAUUAGCUAGUUGGUGAGGUGAAGGCUCACCAAGGCGAUGAUACAUAGCCGACCUGAGAGGGUGAUCGGCCACAUUGGGACUGAGACACGGCCCAAACUCCUACGGGAGGCAGCAGUAGGGAAUCUUCGGCAAUGGACGAAAGUCUGACCGAGCAACGCCGCGUGAGUGAAGAAGGGUUUCGGGUCGUAAAACUCUGUUGGUAGAGAAGAACGUUGGUGAGAGUGGAAAGCUCAUCAAGUGACGGUAACUACCCAGAAAGGGACGGCUAACUACGUG